rnacentral:rRNA from 1 species
AAAAAUACUCUAGGGAUAACAGCGUAAUAAUUUUUGGAGAUCUUAUAGACAAAUAGUUUGCGACCUCGAUGUUGGAUUAGGAUACUUUUUUAAUGAAGAUGUUAAAAAAAGAAGUUUGUUCAACUUUUAAAUUCCUACUUGAUCUGAGUUCAGACC